UGCUACUUUGGUGGCACACAUUACUAAAAUCCAAAGGAUACAGAGAUUAGUGUGGCCCCUGUGCAAGGAUGACACAAAAAUUUGUGAAGUGUUCCAUAUUAGA